ACUUUACAAUGCGGGAAACCGUGAUAAGGGGACACCGAGUGUCAGCAUCAUAUGCUGGCUGUCCGGGUGUGUAAAAUACACCUGUUAGCAAGGGCCGGGCAAGACCGGUGCCAGCCGCCGCGGUAACACCGGCGGCCCGAGUGGUGAUCGUGAUUAUUGGGUCUAAAGGGUCCGUAGCCGGUUUGGUCAGUCCUCCGGGAAAUCUGACAGCUCAACUGUUAGGCUUUCGGGGGAUACUGCCAGACUUGGAACCGGGAGAGGUAAGAGGUACUACAGGGGUAGGAGUGAAAUCUUGUAAUCCCUGUGGGACCACCUGUGGCGAAGGCGUCUUACCAGAACGGGUUCGACGGUGAGGGACGAAAGCUGGGGGCACGAACCGG
rnacentral:rRNA from 1 species